ACGACCUUACUUGAACAGGAUCUGUUCUAUAGGCUCGUACCACUGUAUCCUUGAUUUCUAAGGAGACAGGAAACCAAGUCUGGUUGAUGAAGCAUGGCCAUGUGACCAGAGCGUGAUUAACAGUCAACCAUUGCUCGUCGAGCUGUGGUUGUAGUAGAUGAUCGUUCUUAGACCCUGAUCUCAGGCCUAGGAUGGUCCCAUGGCUGUCUGACAGACU
rfam:Solanum tuberosum cultivar DM 1-3 516 R44 scf00087_46, whole genome shotgun sequence.